ensembl:lncRNA
GUUUGAGAUCAAUGCAACAACCUCCCCUAUCUCACUUAACUCCUGAAAAAGCCCGUUGAAUUCGUAUGCUAGUUUCUCCAGGUGGGAACAGAAUUCUUGCAGGAGAAAAGCAUCUUUGUUUCCAAUGUUUUGCGACAUUUUCUGCAGGUUUGGGGAAGUGCACCAGCCUUCCAUUCCUCAGCUAAGAGGCCCACACACAGGGUCCGAAAUUAACACCCGCCAAGCGCCAAAUGCGGGUAGAUUUUCCGUUUGCGAGUAAAUCUCAGAAGGCUAUCUGCCACGCUGGCGGGUAAAUGUUUGCACCAAAACAGUAAUCAAAUCUGGCAAUGAUGACUGCUGCUAGCUACCGCGGGUCUGCUGCUAGCUACCGUUCAUUAAAUAGCUGUUAUGGGGCGACAUUUACCUGGAGUAAGCCAACCUUUGAAAAUGAAAAACCCACCGACGAGGACAAAUCACAUAAAAAAAAGAAAGUUUUGUGAGAAAUGGAAGUUUGGAGAUAAAGGAGUUUCAAGAGGCUGCCUACAGUAGGAUGCGAAGGCUGUGGUGAUGAGUUGUUCUGUGUGUCGCCAGUAUGCUAAAGAUAAAAGCAGAAACAACUCAUUUGUCAUCGGAAAUAAAACAAUGAAGCUGGAGAACAUUCGUGACCAUGAACACAGCAAGUGUCACAUUGCCUGCGUGUCUGUGUCCUGGGCUCAAUCGGAACCUCUCCUCUUGACACCCUCUGUGACGGCACUAAUGGCAAUGUCAGAGCAGACCAGCACGAAGAUGAACAUAUUGUUUAGGACUGUACAUGCCAUUGGCAAGAAGACGAGACCCCUUUCUGACUUGGAGUGGAUGUGUGAUUUGGAUGGGGAAAAAAAGAUAUCGCUGUGGGUUCAACAUAUAGAAAUGAGAAGCAGGCCAAAGAGUUUAUGCACCAUAUUGCAGAGUUGGAGAGAAACAACAUCCGAGAGAAUCUGAAAACCACCAAAUUUCUCUCCAUCGUGUCAGAUGGCUCCACAGACAGUUCUGUGAAAGAGAAGGAGUUAGUUUAUGUCCGAUUCUGUCCCAAGGACAAGAUCGAGUCGAAGUUUGUUGGCAUCAAGUCGGUGGAGAAGGCAAACGCGGCACACAUAAACAACUCCACCAGUGCCAUCAUGGAGGGAGUGCGUGAUGAGUAGGGGAGCAAGAUGGUCGCUCUGGGAACAGAUGGAGCUGCUGUGAUGAUCGGAAACAAGAAUGGUGUGGUCAGCCGACUGAAGGGGGCCAGGGCCGACAUCAUCGGCAUCCACUGUAUGGCACACCGCCUUGAACUGACCUUUUCUGAUGCCAUCCGGUCCAACGUGAUGUUUCAGAAAGUAGACCUCCUCAGUGGGCUCUACACCUUCUACCACACCAGUCCACUGAACAGGGCAAACCUGGUAAACAGCUUCCAGGCUCUUGGGCACACACCACUGGUACCACACCACACCACCAGAAUUGGUGGGACCCAAUGGGUAGGACACAUAUUGCGUGCACUGAACCACUUCCUGUGAGAUCACCAGGGGCUUGUCCAGCACCUGGAACAGAUUCAAUCUGCUGAUGCCCAAAAUGUCUGAGGUGUCCAGCAGGCCAAGGCCAGGAAAUACUACAGUACUGAGAGGGAGGCUGUUGUUAUCGGCUUCUGUGGCUUCCUGCAUGACACACUAACACACCUGAGCAACCUGUCCGCAGAGGUCCACCAUCACCAUAGCAACCUGUCCACCUGUCUGCAGAGGUCCACCAUCACCAUAGCAACCUGUCCACCUGUCUGCAGAGGUCCACCAUCACCAUAGCAGAAGCCCACAGCUCCUUGUGCUCAACACAGGCAGUACUUAAGAAGUACAAAACCAGAGAAGGGCCCAUGAUGAAGGCCACAACGGCCAACAGAUAUGAGGGGAUUUCGCUGACCAGAGGUGACAGCAAGACCCUCGUCACCUCACAGGACAAAAUGCUCGACAGACUAGUUGAGAGUAUGACUGACAGGUUCCAGGAUGCCAUUGUAGGGGUUCUGUGUGCCACCAAGCUGGUCAGCUUCACCAGUGUAGGGGUCCUGUGUGCCACCAAGCUGGUCAGCUUCACCAACUGGCCAGAGUCAGGAGAUGAAGCAGUCAGGUUACUUUCUGUUUUGUAUUACAGGGCAGUCAGGUUACUUUCUGUUUUGUAUUACAGGGCAGUCAGGUUACUUUCUGUUUUGUAUUACAGGGCAGUCAGGUUACUUUCUAUUUUGUAUUACAGGGCAGUCAGGUUACUUUCUGUUUUGUAUUACAGGGCAG